UAAUACGUAGGGGGCGAGCGUUGUCCGGAUUUAUUGGGCGUAAAGCGCGUGUAGGCGGCUUCGCAAGUGUGGGGUGAAAUCUCCCGGCUCAACUGGGAGGGGUCCUGGCAAACUGCGGAGCUGGAGGACGGUAGGGGUGUGUGGAAUUCCCGGUGUAGUGGUGAAAUGCGUAGAGAUCGGGAGGAACACCAGUGGCGAAGGCGACACACUGGGCCGGCCCUGACGCUGAGACGCGAAAGCGUGGGGAGCGAACUGGAUUAGAUACCCAGGUAGUCCACGCGGUAAACGAUGGACACUAGGUGUGGGGGGUAUCGACCCCUUCCGUGCCGAAGCCAACGCAUUAAGUGUCCCGCCUGGGGAGUACGGCCGCAAGGCUA
rnacentral:rRNA from 1 species